CCUACGGGGGGCAGCAGUAGGGAAUCUUCCACAAUGGGCGAAAGCCUGAUGGAGCAACGCCGCGUGGGUGAAGAAGGUCUUCGGAUCGUAAAACCCUGUUGUUAGAGAAGAAAGUGCGUGAGAGUAACUGUUCACGUUUCGACGGUAUCUAACCAGAAAGCCACGGCUAACUACGUGCCAGCAGCCGCGGUAAUACGUAGGUGGCAAGCGUUAUCCGGAUUUAUUGGGCGUAAAGGGAACGCAGGCGGUCUUUUAAGUCUGAUGUGAAAGCCUUCGGCUUAACCGGAGUAGUGCAUUGGAAACUGGGAGACGUGAGGGCAGAAGAGGAGAGGGGAACUCCAUGUGUAGCGGGGAAAUGCGUAGAUAUAUGGAAGAAAACCAGGGGCGGAAGCGGCUCUCUGGUCUGUAACUGACGCUGAGGUUCGAAAGCGUGGGUAGCAAACAGGAUUAGAUACCCCUGUAGUC
rnacentral:rRNA from 1 species